CGCGUGAGCAAAUGGAGAAACUGAGUCACGGGGCUGGCAAGUGGUUCUGCAGAAGCUGCGAGGCUGAGUCAGGCCGGGCGCCGGGAACUUGCGGGCCUCACGUGAGGGGUACGCCCAGGGCCAGUUGUGGAACCCUCUGAGCCCAGGUACGCUUGGGGUGGAGCACUUGCAACCACCUAUGUCACUUUGGUGGUGGUGUCCAGACCUGCGGAGAGAGGCCAUAAAGACAGGCCUCUGUCCUUCUCUGCCCUGAGGCGAGAAGUUUAGUUCUGCUCAGACCUGAAACUUGUGCAACAAUGAUUGGGUUCAUCCUUAGGCACAGAAGUUCCAGGACCUUCCGUAAGCGGCAGGCAACGCAGCCAAAUUGACGCUCCCAGACGACGGUGAGCAGCUACCGGCCUUCUCUCUUGGCUGUUGGCCUCCUGACCCACGGAGGGUCUGCAGGCUGUCUGGGUUGAGCCCCCUCAGCAGGGGCAAAAGGCUGCCCCUGGGGAUGUCUCUGGCUGGAAAGGGGGAACAGAGG
rnacentral:lncRNA from 1 species